rnacentral:rRNA from 1 species
GCUAUCGUGCGUUGCCUAAUACAUGCAAGUCGAGCGAAUCGAUGGGAGCUUGCUCCCUGAGAUUAGCGGCGGACGGGUGAGUAACACGUGGGCAACCUGCCUAUAAGACUGGGAUAACUUCGGGAAACCGGAGCUAAUACCGGAUACGUUCUUUUCUCGCAUGAGAGAAGAUGGAAAGACGGUUUACGCUGUCACUUAUAGAUGGGCCCGCGGCGCAUUAGCUAGUUGGUGAGGUAAUGGCUCACCAAGGCGACGAUGCGUAGCCGACCUGAGAGGGUGAUCGGCCACACUGGGACUGAGACACGGCCCAGACUCCUACGGGAGGCAGCAGUAGGGAAUCUUCCGCAAUGGACGAAAGUCUGACGGAGCAACGCCGCGUGAACGAAGAAGGCCUUCGGGUCGUAAAGUUCUGUUGUUAGGGAAGAACAAGUACCAGAGUAACUGCUGGUACCUUGACGGUACCUAACCAGAAAGCCACGGCUAACUACGUGCCAGCAGCCGCGGUAAUACGUAGGUGGCAAGCGUUGUCCGGAAUUAUUGGGCGUAAAGCGCGCGCAGGUGGUUCCUUAAGUCUGAUGUGAAAGCCCACGGCUCAACCGUGGAGGGUCAUUGGAAACUGGGGAACUUGAGUGCAGAAGAGGAAAGUGG